rnacentral:rRNA from 1 species
UACGGGGGGGGCAAGCGUUGUUCGGAAUUACUGGGCGUAAAGGGCUCGUAGGUGGCCCCAUAAGUCAGACGUGAAAUCCCUCGGCUCAACCGAGGAACUGCGUCUGAGACUGUGGGGCUUGAAUCCGGGAGAGGGAUGCGGAAUUCCAGGUGUAGCGGUGAAAUGCGUAGAUAUCUGGAGGAACACCGGUGGCGAAGGCGGCAUCCUGGACCAAUAUUGACGCUGAGGAGCGAAAGCCAGGGGAGCAAACGGG